GCAGCUCCCCUAAAAAACACAGCAGCCUCUACCCCACUGAAGGAACCAGUCUGCUACGAAAUCCUGAGCAGAGCAGGACCUGCACAUGUAACCUCCUGCCCUGCACUCAGUAAACCAGCCGGUGUGGAUCGUACCGCAUUCACGCAGGGAGGGAGAGCUCCUGCAGCCAGCUGUCCCCCAGGGAACGUGUUACGGCACAAAUUACUCCGGAGUAAGACAGAUGAAAGAGAACAUUUGAGGUAGCAGAGCGACGGUGUGUGAGCAGGCACGACGAGGGGUGGCAGGUCAGGGGAAAACACACUCCCUGGAGAUCUCCAGAACCACACGUGCCACCCCAAAUGGCUUCUUCAAACAAAACUACUCCAUCGUGGCGAACAACUUUCCCUAAACCACACAAAAUUCCCUCCCCUGGGGAAUACGCAAAGCUACACUUGAGUGUAUAGGCAUAUUUAAAUGUUUCACAAUCUGCUUUUGCAUGUGUUAUUUGGGGAUAUAAAUGGUGAAAUCA